UAACAAUCCUAGGAGGUAUAAAUCCCCAUUUUAUUGAUGAGGGAAUUGAGGCUUGGAGAGGUUCAGCAACUUGCCCAAGGUUACAUAAUUCAUCAGUAGCAAGGGCAGGAUUCAAACCCAGGUGGUCUGGCUCCAAUAGCUGUACCUGAGGGUGGGAAGAAGACAGCUCAGAUCACCCACUGAGUUUGUCCCUCUACUCUGACAAACCCCAUGAGCUGCAGGGCAGAGGGUACAGUUCUGAUCCCCAGUGGUCCCCGUUACUGGAUCCCCAGACUCCUGAACCAACUUACGCUGUCCUCUUUCCUGACAGGAUUGUCCUGGCACGAUGACCUCACCCAGUAUGUGAUCUCUCAGGAGAUGGAGCGCAUCCCCAGGCUUCGCCCCCCAGAGCCCCAUCCAAGGGACAGGUCUGGCUUGGCACCCAAGAGACCUGGUCCUGCUGGAGAGCUGCUUUUACAGGACAUCCCCACUGGCUCCGCCCCUGCUGCCCAGCAUCGGCUUCCACAACCACCAGUGGGCAAAGGUGGAGCUGGGGCCAGCUCCUCUCUGUCCCCUCUGCAGGCUGAGCUGCUCCCCCCUCUC
rnacentral:sRNA from 1 species